GUGAUAAUCACCCCUGUUAAGGGUGAUUCUUGUCAGGCAGUAAGCAGCUCUAUAAUGAUGGUGUGGUGGUAUAAUAAAAGAUUGUUUGAACUAAAAUUUCUCAGAAUGACACAGACCUGGAUGGCAUACAGCCUCUGUUCAUUGGGCCAAGGAUAAAUGAGAGUUUUAAGAAUGCAUAUGUGUGUGCAAUUCAACAGAUUGAUGCCUGAUGCAAGAACUCUAGAGACCAUUUACUUGUUUUGGAAGCAUCUAGCAUAUGAUGAAGGGUUCAUUCCAAGGUGUCAAAACAUGGUUCAAGAAUGGAGUCAGGUUGUUUUUUCCAUUUUCUCAUGCUUUUCAAUAUUGUGUAGAAGAUUCAUAAUUUGGUGGCCUGAAUACUGUUCUCAUGUGAUCAAACAGCUAUAUUAUCUAUUCCUAGCUACACUUUGUCUCACCUUCCAGAACAGAGGGAAUCUGAGUAAAUUGUUAUCAAUUAAACACCUGGGAAUCUUCAGUAGGACAGGUACUUAAAAGUUAGGUAUUGUAGCUUUUAUUGUUUACUGGAAAAUAAAAGUGAUAAAUUUGAGAAAUCUGCA
rnacentral:lncRNA from 1 species